GAUGAACGCUGGCGGCGUGCCUAAUACAUGCAAGUCGAGCGAACGGACGAGAAGCUUGCUUCUCUGAUGUUAGCGGCGGACGGGUGAGUAACACGUGGAUAACCUACCUAUAAGACUGGGAUAACUUCGGGAAACCGGAGCUAAUACCGGAUAAUAUUUUGAACCGCAUGGUUCAAAAGUGAAAGACGGUCUUGCUGUCACUUAUAGAUGGAUCCGCGCUGCAUUAGCUAGUUGGUAAGGUAACGGCUUACCAAGGCAACGAUGCAUAGCCGACCUGAGAGGGUGAUCGGCCACACGGGAACUGAGACACGGUCCAGACUCCAACGGAAGGCAGCAGUGGGAAAUCUUCGCAAUGGGCGAAAGCCUGACGGAGCAACGCCGCGUGAGUGAUGAAGGUCUUCGGAUCGUAAAACUCUGUUAUUAGGGAAGAACAUAUGUGUAAGUAACUGUGCACAUCUUGACGGUACCUAAUCAGAAAGCCACGGCUAACUACGUG
rnacentral:rRNA from 1 species